rnacentral:lncRNA from 1 species
UCCUUUAAUUACCCAUCUACACAAAUGACCUUAGAUCAAGCACAGGCAGAUAUAAGUUAUAGUAACAUUUACAUCGAGUGUAAGGUUUAAAAAUAAUACAAAGUCCAUUCACAGUGCACAGUGGAGACAUGGUUACGUUUGAAGUAUUUAGAUACCAAGUGGCCAUGAUCGCUUAGAAGGAAAGCACAUUUUCAAGCACAUUUCCAUUUGCUACAGUGUGAGACAAUCUACCACACAGCAGCGGAGAGGAUGGAGAUAACACCAGUACCAUCAUCUCACUGAUCGGAAAGAAAAGAUACGUUUACCAGAUAAAUACAUCUGAAAUAAAUAAAUACAAAAUUAACUAGAUAAGAAGUUUGCCUUCUGAGCCUACACUCUUUCUUCAUUAUUUUUGAUUUUGAGACAGGGUGUCCCUGCAUAGCUCGGGUUUGCCUUUAACUCCUGAUUGUCCUGCUUCUGCUGCCAGAAUCCUGCCUGUGACAUUCCACACUUUACAGUUAGGGAGCCUCGCUCACUUUCACACUGUCCCUUUCCAUUUGGUCACUGAGUAAUCUGGGGAGCCCACUGACUAUAGCCUGGGAAACGGAGGAAACGGCCGCUGAGGAGGGGAGACUACGAGGAAGGCAGACUGCACGCUGCACUCGUAGCUAACUGCAGCUUGCCGCGUGUGAGGCUUGCUUCCAGUGGUUCAUGCUGUCAACACUAGGGAUUUAUAAUUGACAUUCUGACCAAGUCAUUUUGCUUAUGAUCUUCUUAAAAAUCCCUUAGUUCUCCAAAUAAAAUUUUGUAUCAAAAAAGAAAAAUUCACCCACUCCAUUCUUUGCAAACGGUUUCCUGUCCAGUCAGAAUUUAACUUGCCUAGACUGAGCACCUGAAUGCAGACAUGAUACACAGGGUCUGCUGCUGGGACUCAACUUUAUCCUUCCAUAACUUCUGCAUUUCAUAAACACCCAGCUUUCAGCAGGUGGGGGCACAGUUAGCAUGAGACCAGGUUACAAAUAACCCAUGGGGUGAAGAAUGACAGGGGUUUUUGGUAAUGUAGUUUUGGGUUGAAGUUUUAAAUUUUGAUCCCCUCAAAGAAAUAAAUUCUCUUCCAUUAAAAAAAAGUAUAGAGAUUUGAUGCCUAACAUAAGACUUUUGCUUGGGAGAAACCUGCAGAUUUCUCCUGCUGGCCUUAGCCAGGACCUCCACCCCAG